rnacentral:rRNA from 1 species
AAAUUGAAGAGUUUGAUCAUGGCUCAGAUUGAACGCUGGCGGCAGGCCUAACACAUGCAAGUCGGACGGUAGCACAGAGAGCUUGCUCUCGGGUGACGAGUGGCGGACGGGUGAGUAAUGUCUGGGGAUCUGCCCGAUAGAGGGGGAUAACCACUGGAAACGGUGGCUAAUACCGCAUAACGUCGCAAGACCAAAGAGGGGGACCUUCGGGCCUCUCACUAUCGGAUGAACCCAGAUGGGAUUAGCUAGUAGGCGGGGUAAUGGCCCACCUAGGCGACGAUCCCUAGCUGGUCUGAGAGGAUGACCAGCCACACUGGAACUGAGACACGGUCCAGACUCCUACGGGAGGCAGCAGUGGGGAAUAUUGCACAAUGGGCGCAAGCCUGAUGCAGCCAUGCCGCGUGUAUGAAGAAGGCCUUCGGGUUGUAAAGUACUUUCAGCGGGGAGGAAGGCGGUGCGGUUAAUAACCGCGCCGAUUGACGUUACCCGCAGAAGAAGCACCGGCUAACUCCGUGCCAGCAGCCGCGGUAAUACGGAGGGUGCAAGCGUUAAUCGGAAUUACUGGGCGUAAAGCGCACGCAGGCGGUCUGUUAAGUCAGAUGUGAAAUCCCCGGGCUUAACCUGGGAACUGCAUUUGAAACUGGCAGGCUUGAGUCUCGUAGAGGGGGGUAGAAUUCCAGGUGUAGCGGUGAAAUGCGUAGAGAUCUGGAGGAAUACCGGUGGCGAAGGCGGCCCCCU